rnacentral:misc_RNA from 1 species
UAAAUUCAGAUGAAAAGGAUCAUCUGCUAUUUCUACAAGAUGUAUGCAGGGCUUUAUUUGGUAAGUAAAUCAACUGCCCGCUUUGUUCUGUCUUCACUUUUAUCAUUCAAAGGGUCAGCAAGUUUGUCUCUGUACGAUAUGCAGGACUGGUAGGAAGUUUAUACAACUUUUGGAACAGACAUUCGGAAUCAAUUUUUCAUUUUCAGAAACAAUCAGAAUUUCCAGUAGAUGUGAGAUACUUCGUCUUUAAUUUCUGGCAAUUGCUCUUCAACUUAUAUUGCUGCAUCCCAGCUCCUUCGUGAAGCUCAAGACUGCAGAGUGUGCAUUGGUUCUCAAUUGAUGAU